rnacentral:rRNA from 1 species
GAACGUAAGAUGACUGUAGGUGAAAGCUUACAUCUCUUCGGAGCAUUUUACGAGGUGCUGCAUGGUUGUCGUCAGCUCGUGCCGUGAGGUGUCGGGUUAAGUCCCAUAACGAGCGCAACCCCUACCUUAGUUGCCAUCAGGUUAAGCUGGGGACUCUAAAGGAACUGCCUACGCAAGUAGUGAGGAAGGCGGGGAUGACGUCAAAUCAGCACGGCCCUUACGUCCAGGGCUACACACGUGCUACAAUGGCCGAUACAGGGGGCAGCUACCUGGUGACAGGAUGCAAAUCUCCAAAGUCGGUCUCAGUUCGGAUCGGAGUCUGCAACCCGACUCCGUGAAGUUGGAUUCGCUAGUAAUCGCGCAUCAGCCAUGGCGCGGUGAAUACCCGUUCCCGGGCCUU